AAAUUGCCACUGUCUGCGUGUACUCGCCCUCAUAAGGCUGGCCUCCUUCAAGGGGCCUUCCCGUUUCGCGAGUGGGAAAUUCGGUGGCAUACUUCACCCUGCAAACAAACUCCUCCUGAGAGGUCCCUGGGCGUGUAAACGCCGGGCAGCCGCCAUCAGAAAUCAGGGCUUGACACGUAGUGUUUACACCACCGUCAGGUCCAUGGGAGUGCGGCGCGGGUGGUUGACAGGGGCUCUCCCUAGCAGAGCCUCGUGUUGUUGAGUCCAAUACGCAGAUUUUACCAGGGAUUUAUCCCCCUGGUUUAACACUCGAUACCGAUCACUGUGGUAAUUU
rnacentral:RNase_P_RNA from 2 species